GUCAUCCUGGGCCAGCCUUGCAAGAAGAAAUGAGGGAAUCCCUGAGGAAGUGAUAUUGGGCAGGUUUUGCAGGAUGAGUAGCAGUUCACUGGAGCAUAGAAAUCCGACUUGAUUGCAUUUGGGUAUGGGAGCAUCAUCUGUGGUGAAGGUUCAGGUGCAGCUUCAAAGAGCCUCUGGGAGUUCCCAUCGUGGCGCAGUGGUUAACGAAUCCGACUAGGAACCAUGAGGUUGCGGGUUCGAGCCCUGCCCUUGCUCAGUGGGUUAACCAUCCAGCGUUGCUGUGAGCUGUGGUGUAAGUCACAGACGCGGCUCGGAUCCCAAGUUGCUGUGGCUCUGGCGUAGGCUGGCAGCUACAGCUCCGAUUAGACCCCUAGCCUGGGAACCUCCAUAUGCCUCGGGAGUGGCCCAAGAAAUGGCAAAAAGAAAAAAAAAGAGCCUCUGAUCAGUCAGGUUGGGAGGCCCACGCAGGAAGAAAGGAACAGUGGGGACAUUUACAGGUGUGUAUGUCCCAGAGUCACAGUUAAGUGUUUUCUAGUCACUCUUUUGGCCAAAUCACUUAGCGCUUUUCAAAGAAAACCAGCUUAAGCCUUGUUGCCUUUGACUUCUCUCCCUUGAAACUGCUGCUUCUGGCCCCAGGCCCCUCUCCUCCUCUGGGGCUGGGGGCUCCUUGGAUUUCUGGGAGUCCUGAGACCACAGCUACCCUGGGAGUGACGAGAUCAGUGAUGGUGCUUGGCUGCUGACCUCAUCCCUGCCAGCUGCCAAGGGAGCAGACGUGGGCAGGGCCGGACAGCAGGGCUUAUGGUUCUGAGGUUAUGUGGUCUCAGCUGGUCCUAUCACAGCACAUCCAGGCUGUUGUCUGGAAGGGUAGGAAAUAGGAGGUGAUGCAUUGUAGGCGAGAAGUGGGGAGCCUGGAGCUGGCUACAGGAGCUUCUGCCUCCCCUUGGCCAGCCCAAGGGCACAGCCAGCACAGAGCAAACCAGAACCCAGGGACAGACAGGGAUUCUGGCCUUCUUUCAACACCUGCAUCCACGUGGGCCUGGAGUCCUGGAUGCAGAGAUGUGGACUUCUCCCAGUUUGUUCCAGGGCCACUCUAGCUGGGCUUCUGACCCUGGUUACCAAGAGCAUCCAGGGCAGAGGAGAGCUGGCCUUGGCCCAGCUUGGGGGUCAGGGUGAGAUCUGCAGAGUGUAGAGAGCAGGGCAGUGAGCAGGUGGGGGGCCACACCUGUUCUGCCAGCGCCCAGGCAAAGGAGCAGCAGUUCUGAGACUGCUUGGAGAGAAAGCUGACACACCCAUUAUGCAGUCACACAGCAGGUUUGCUGGGGAACCUGCAGGUGCCUCUGGGCACAGGCACACAGACACACAAAGAAACACACACACACACACACAUUUCAAAAAUGUGCAGCUCUCCUCUCAAAAAAGUAUACGCCUCUUGACCUAGAAAUUCCACUUCUGGGAAGCUGCCCUAAGGACAGAAUAAAGGAUGUGUGCCAAGACUCCCCGUCAAGGAAUUUCCCUGCAGUGCAGCUCGUAAUAACACACAGUUGGCAGCAGUCAGGAUUCCACUAAGGGAGUGGUCAGGCCCUCAAACCAAACUCGGCUGUUAACUUCCAUGGGGAGACAAGCCUUGUUUACUGUAGACUGAGAAAGGGAAGCAGCUUGCAAACGGUCUUCACCCUCUGAAGACAUUUGGGUAAAAUAAGUCUGCAUCAGCAAGGACUCGAGGAGUUGGGUCUGGGUGUGAUCAAGGUGGUUUCUGAGUUGGGAGGAUUGUGGCUCUUUCUGAUCCCUUAGGAAUCCAGGCUUGCUUUGUGUGAGAGGAAAAAUAAACCCAGUUUUGAAAAGGAAUGUGCAUUCUGCACACACAGCCCCUCCUCCUCCCGUGUGUGACAAUGAGGUCUGAAUAAGGAUGAAGAUCGCAGGUGGCUCACAGAGGCAGGAGGCUUGGGCGGCUUCUGGGACGGAUGUGCUGUCACUCUGCAGGGACAGGGCAGCUGCCUGAAGGGUGAGGAGCCAGGUCAACUCAGGUGAGAACAGUCUCGAGACAGAGAAAGCUGGGAAAGGAGCAGAACAGAGCUCACAGUGUGCGACUGUGUGAACAGUUCUGUGCAAACAUAAAAAUGAGCCACCUCUAGGGGGACCCACAGGAGUCCUAACAGCCCUGCCUGGGAGAGGCUGGGAGGGUCAGGGUGGGAAAAGGGAGGCUCACCUUAGCUGCAGACCCAUCUGCACCUUGAAUCACAACUGGCAUGUGUUCCCUAUUUGAAAGCAUAGUUUACACAAAGAAAAAGGAAGCACGCUUAGCCUAGCUUAUGUCCCAACACACAGACAUGGGAGCACUGGCCAGCAGGCCCUCUCCGGCCUCACCACCAAGAUCAUCCUGAGGCCUCUGGGCCUUGUCCCUUGGUGGGGCCGGCAGGUGUGAGGGGCUGUGGGCGGCUGGGCUCUGUCUCUUUAAUUCCUCUGGCUGAGACACCAAUUUUCUGCUAGGCUGGCCUGGCUGCUGCAGGGCUGUUUCUGCUAACAAACUGCACGGAGGAGCAGAGCAAUUAGGCAAUUAAACUGUUUUAAAUGGAAUUUAGAGCCCUAAUGUUUCUCUGGGAGGGUGGCCUCUGGGCCUCACCUCUGCCCUGUGUGGGGGAUGGGAGAGCAGAGGGGUGCAAGGGCAGGGCUGGUAACAGACCCCCAGAGAUGGACACUUAGACCUGCGGCCCCGUGGACAGGCCUGGCUUGUCCCUGCCUCUUCCCAUGCACUCACAUUUUCAAUCAACACCCACCACAUGCCACACACUGUCCGGGCCCUGGGAUCCACGAAGUCCUUGUCCUCAGGAGCAGGUCAAGGAAGCCGAUUCCAGGAUGAAAUGGGAAGGUAGGAAAGGGAACAGGUGGGGGAUGCUACCAGCAAGUGUGGUCAGGCCUCUUCAAGGAGGUCACAUGCCUGUUAUAUGAGACCAGGGAUGGGAAGAUGCAGACAUAGAGCUUUCCAGAAAGUGGGAACAGUAAGUGCAAAGGCCCUGAGGUACACCCAAUAUUGGCUAAUUUAGGCAAAACCAGAGGUUAAUAUGGCCAAAGCAUGGAGUUGGGAGGAGUUGGGAGACUGGCUGGGGCAGCCUGUGCACCGACUCCAUCUUGAAAGGCUCAGAGCAACCUUGAGGAAGGGGCAUGUUACCCAUAUCUGUGCCAAGAGGAAAAGGGACUUGCCUGAGUCACCCAAUGGGAUGAGCAAGACUGCUCGGCCUGAAGCAGAGCCCCAGGUGCUCCGAGCUUCCUGUGACCACAGGGCUUUCCCUGACAGAAGGAGCAGGUGGUCCCCAGGGCAGGGCAGGGGUGGGGAAGCACAACUACUGAGUGAGGAGGAGCUUUUGUUCUUUGUCUUUUUUAGGGCUGCACCCAAGGCAUAUGGAGGUUACCCAGGCUAGGGGUCAAAUCGGAGCUGUAGCUGCUGGCCUGCACCACAGCCACAGCAAUGCCAGAUCCAAGCUGUGUAUGCAACUUACAUCACAGCUCAUGGCAACGAGGGAUCCUUAACCCACAGAGCAAGGCCAGGGAUUGAACCUGCAUCCUCAUGGAUACUAGUCAGAUUCAUUUCCUCUGAGCCACGAGGGGAACUCCAGGAGGAAUGUUUUAACUGAACGAUCUGGCCAGGAAUAACCUCCUUGUAAGAUGGUGAGUUUCCUAUCCUGGGAGAUAUUUAAGAAAACUCAGGUUGAGAGGGUUUUAUAGUGGGUACUCUAGUGUUGAACAGGUGGAACCAUGGGGUCAGUAGUUUCCAGCUGGCCUGGGGGCCAUCCUGUGUGCCAGCCUGCAUGUGAUGCCUGGCAAGGCCCUGACCUCUCCGGGCUCCAUCCUUGGCUAUAAAAAGGAAGCAACAGUGGUAUUUGCUAGGCUCGUGCAAACACUAGAACAGUGCCUGGCUUGUGGCACAGCCUGUGCUGGGGAAAUGCUGUAUUAUUUCUUUUGAUUGGAAAACUUCUAAAACAUGUUUAUGAUAAAAAUAAGUACAGAAAAUGUGAAUCCAACCAUCCAAAGGAUCAACAAUGAAGGGUGGUCCCCCUCUCCCAGAGGCCACUGGGAUAGCACUUUGUGGGAGGGGGUUGCCUUCCAAAGCUACUACACACAUCAGGGGAUGCGCCUUCCCCUCAAGCUGUAGCGUCCUCCACACUCUUCUGCAUUUGGCUUCCUUCCUUCAUUCCACUAAAGCCAUACACACUGAUUUUAAAUUUCUGAGUAGAAAAUAUAUUCUCACAAGGUUUCAAAGUUCCAGUGCUCUCCCCUGUACCUGCCUGCCACUACACACUGACAUGGCUUCUUAGGGAUUUUCCUAGUGUUUCUUUAACAAACACUCAGCUCUACAUGCUGGUUUUCUCCCUUAAUGUCCUAUCUGCAGAGUUCCCUGAAUCUGCCAUUAACUGGAGGGAGUAUCUCUGUUCCUGGACCCUGGUUGCUAUGAUUUCACCAUCACACACACAGCAGCAGUGGCUCCUCUGACGUAAUUUAGGCAAUGCGUCAUUUCUUGGUACCUGGCUUGCCUCCAGGUCCACGGGUGGCAGUGGGCUACUAGGUCAGAGGAUAACCCCACUGGACAAACAGUAUCCCCUGGGAAGAGGACAUGGCAGGGGCCUGUUUCCACAGUGGUGGUGCCAACUUUGUGUGUCUGUACACGGUGAGGUGCAUCCUGACAGGGAAGGAGGGUAACUCAGUACCCUUAAUUCCUGUUUCUCCUGUCACACGUGAGGUCAAACCUUUGUCACCUUGGUCAGGGCUUUUCAAGUUAUUUUUUUUGCUGCACCCAUGGCAUGUGGAAAUUCCUGAGCCAGGAUCAAAUAUGCUCGAGCCACAGCAGCAACCCAAGCCACUGCAGUGAAAACACCAGAUCCUUAGCCCACUGCACCACAAGGGAAUUCUGUUUCUUAAAAAAAACCCUGUCUAUUCAUAUUUUCUGCCUUUUUUUUUUUUUUUUUUGCUUUUUAGGGUCACGCUCAUGGCAUGUGGAGGUUCCCAGGCUAGGGGGUCAAAUCAGAGCUACAGCUGCAGGCCUACGCCACAGCAACAUGGGAUCUGAGUGGCAUCUGUGACCUACACCAUAGCUCAUGGCAAUGCCCGAUCCUUAACCUGCUGAGUGAGAAGAGGGAUCGAACUUGCAUCCUCAUGGAUCCUAGUUGGCGUUAACCAUUGAGCCACGAAGGGAACUCCUGUCUCUGCCCAUUUUCUUUCUUGGUUUCUUUUCUUGGUUUCCAGGAGCUCUUUAUAUGUUAGUUAAAUUAGACCCAACCUGUGGGCUAAGUGAAGCCCAGUGAUAUUAUUUUUUAUAAAUAAAAUUCUCCUGGAGCACAGCCACGCUUACUGCCUGUAGCUGCUGCAGCUACAGCAGCAAAGCUGAGAAAAGGCCUAUGGCCUGGAUGCUUAGAGUGUUUACAGAGAAAGUUUGCUGACUCCUGUGUUAGAUUUUUGCCAUGUUAAGCUGCAAAUAUUUCCCAUAGUUUGUUAUGUAUCUUUUGACUCUUUCUUUGCUUUAAGUGCAUUAACAAUUUUAAGAUAGUUGUUCGGAUGCCUUUUAGCAGUGCUAAAAUCUGCUUGAUUUGAGUGAAGUCUUGCUUCUCAAAACUCUCCAUCUUCACCUACCAGACCAUAUAGAAACUGCCGAACUUAGCACUUGCACCCCUCCUUCACAGGGUUUAAUGGCCUUAGAGGUGAAGCCUCCAAGCCUGGCCGGAGCGAUGACCUCAUUUUACAGACGAGAAAACUGAGGCUCUAAGGUUGUGCAGCCUGCAGGCCUGGAUGGACAGCACGGAUGGGGGCCGAGUCCUCUGCUGCCGCUCCCACUGGGAAACCUUGGCCCUUGCAACUGUGACUGUGGGUGGGAAGAGUCCGUUCCGCCGUGACGCGAGCCCCAGGGUGGAAGGGGCUGUCCUAGGUGACAGGGGGGCAUCCGGGCGGGGUUCCAGGUUCUGUACCCAUGGGCUGCCUCCCUGAGGCCCGCAGCGCAGUGUGCGGUGCAAUGCUUGGCGUGGCCGGCAGGAGGCGGUGUCGCACCAGGCAUGGUGCGCUUUGUCCGCUCGCAGCCCGUGGGUCUGCGGAGCUGCGGGGCUGCAGAGCUGCAGGGCUGCACUCUCUGUGGGUCUGGCAAGCACGCCGCAGCUCCUGCUGCGCCCUCCUGCACCCCCGCCUCGCGUCCCCAUCCCCAGACUCCACCUCCUGUUCCGACCAGACCCCAGCCCUUGCCCCUCCCCCGGCCCCCAGUACUCCCGGCUUCAUUUUCUUGCCUGGAGCUGCGGGCUAGGAGCCAGACCCAGGGCAGGGGUGGGGCCGGCUCUGGCCUCACUGUAAAGUGGAAAGCCAGCCGCUGAGCUCCGCUUGGAACCCUCGGAGGCUCCCAUCACCUUAAAAUAGACUCCCAGGGGCUCGGCUAGCAGGGCUGCUGUGGCCCUGCCGGCUGACAUCACCUCCUUCAGCGACCUCUCCUGACGUCUGCACAUCGACCUUCUUCCUUCUCUCCGUUCCUAGAGGAGCCGCAAGGCCCCAGCCUGUGCUUGCAGUGUACCCGUCCCGCCCCUCCUGGUUUCUAAUGUACUCUCGUCAGGAUGCCCCCAACGGAUCUGGCAUAGUCCCAAUUUCUACCCGUGCAUUUCUGGUCCCCUGUUUUAUAUUCCACCCCCUUCCACCUAGGAGACCAGAGCAGCCCCUUCCAGUUUGGUCUCCACUGGCUGCUCCAGAGCUGACAAGAGACUCAGGGGGCCUCUGUCUGGGACUCUGCCACUCAGGCAAGUGGGCCCCUGAUCGGGUGGCCUGGGGCUCCACUGUCUCUGGAAGCUGGGACAUUGGCCAUGACCCUUGGCCUAAGCCCUCAAGAAGGGGGACGCAGGUCAGUUCCAGACCCCCAACGCGUGCUCAUGCUCACUGAGCACUUAAUGUGAACAAAGUGCUUUCCUUGACUUAUCAGGUGGGAUCUCCUAACAACCCCAGCAUUACUGCUCCAUUUUAUGGAUGGAGAAACCAAGUCUCAGUGAGGUUAAGCCACCUGCCCAAGGUCACUCAGCUGGAGUUUGAACCCAGAGUCAGCUGUUUCUCUCCUGAGACAACGGGGAUUGUUGUGAGCAUUGAGUUAUUGCCCUGAGGAGCAGGUGGGGAAAUGGAAGCCUGCUGCCCAUGUCACAGUAAAACAGGUAGGCUGAGGCUCUGAGCCAAGGGUGCCAGGAAGAACACACCUUCACAGCGUCCCUCCAGCCCUUUGGCACGGCUGGUUCAGUGGCCCUCAGUUUCUCCUUGUUGGGGGGGCACCCCAUCCAUGGUCCCUGGCUGUGAGGACCCCUGAAUCCACAUCUCCAAGCCUGGAGCUUGGUGUCUGGGGCUGGAGAAUGGUGGAAUUGCGGGUGGGUUGGGGGUUGUUUUCCCUACGGUAUGUGCCCCUCAUUGGCAGAGCAGGGAUGGCUGCCUAGGGUGGCAACCUCAGAUGCUGUGGGGGUCGGGGGUGGGGAGAGGUUGCAUAAAUGAGGGGUAAGGCCAAGUAUGACGCACUCGGGGUGGGGGCUGUGCCAAACCAGAGCAUCUCCCUCAUCUGAGGGGUAACAGGGUAUGAGAGGGAGGGCUUGAGGGGGGGGGACUGUGCAUACGUGAGAGGUGUCACUCUGCCUCCACCCUGCAGCAGGGCCCAGGCUCCCCGUGCACUCUGCACAUAAUCCACCUUCUUCACGGGGACCUGCUGUACAGCACAAGGAACUCUACCCAAUAUUCUGUGACGAUCUAUGUGGGAAAAGAAUCUGAAAAUAAUGGAUGUGUGUAUAUGUAUAACUGAAUCUCUUUGUUGUAUAGCAGAAAUUAUCAUAACAAUGUAAAUCAACUAUACUUCAAUAA
rnacentral:lncRNA from 1 species